UUGAACGCUAGCAAUAGCUCCGAUGAGUCGCAUAUCCCAGCAGCUCAGGAAUUAAAUCGUAAGAAUAACUAUUAUUUAAUCAUUAAUAUUCAACCACUCUUCCUUCAUCUUUUCUUUUGUCGGUUUCAGUUAACCAACCACCUCUAAAAAGAAAGCGCUUUUUCACAAAAAACUAUUACAAUAAUGCAACCGAAAAUAAACAGAGUACGAGUACCAGUGCAAAUAUCUCAAAUGAGGCUAACCAACCACAUCUAAAAAGAAAGCGCUUUUUCACAAAAAAACGAUUACAAUAAUGCAACCGAAAAUAAACAGAGUACGAUUACCAGUGCAAAUAUCUCAAAUUAGGAAAUUAUGGAAACCUUCAAAGGGUCUUAAAAACCCAAAACGAUUUGAUAGAAGGCAUAAAUAUAAUUAACCAUAAUGUAAGAUAAUCACUUUUCAACAUGUGCUGUAACCCAAACAAAAUUUUAAGCAAAGCAAGAAGUUGGUUAAAAAAAGAGUACAUGUAUAAUUUUCAUUGUCCUUUUACAUUAGCAAACCACCAUUGUUCAAAACCAAAUCCACAUCUCCGAGGUAUUGGAACAGGUUCAGCAAAACUUAUGUCGUAUUUGAAAUCAGUAUUAUAAAAAGUUACAUAUGUAUGUAUUUAAAAAAGUAAUAAAUAUAUUUUGUUCAGGCCGUUAAUAAAAGUGAAAUGGAAGCGCAAAAUAUGAUGGUACGAGAAUGCAAAGUGGUUGCAAAGAAGAUUGAGAGGUCGGUUUGUCGAAUGACUGGAGAAAUUUCUGACAAAUUUAGAUGACAUCGCCAGUUCUCUACCACUGCAGUCCGAUUGCGCCACAUAUAUCAUAAAAUUAAAAGGUGUAUCUGAGGACGUAGGCAGCGUCAUUAAACAUUUAUUUACGGACGAAACAUUGCUACAAUUCAACUGGGACGGAAGAUGGGAGAGAAAGCCACUGAACAAACUCAUACUGGUUGACACAAUCGUACGAGAUGCAUUUAAAAGGUGCAGUUGAGUUGGAAAAGGAUAUCAAAAAGGCAGUUGAAAUCCAUAAUUUUAAGACUAUUUAAUAUUAGAUUUAAGUAUGUACAUAUGAACGCCAGUGGCAGCAAUAAUAUAAACGCCUUAUUUUGAUUAAUUUUUCGCUAAAUUACCUUUAUUUUUUUAACGUUUAAUGAUUAUUUAAUACUC